rnacentral:rRNA from 1 species
UACUGAAUCUCGUAAUAGGAAACCCGAGUGCCAGCACAGGCUGGCUGUCCACCAGUGUAAAUAACUGGUGAAGAAAGGGCCGGGCAAGACCGGUGCCAGCCGCCGCGGUAAUACCGGCGGCUCGAGUGGUGGCCGCUAUUACUGGGCUUAAAGGGUCCGUAGCUGGAUAUACAAGUCCCUUGAGAAAUCCGCCGGCUUAACCGGUGGGCGUUCAGGGGAAACUGUAUUUCUAGGGACCGGGAGAGGUGAGAGGUACUGCCGGGGUAGGAGUGAAAUCCUGUAAUCCCGGUGGGACCACCUAUGGCGAAGGCAUCUCACCAGAACGGGUCCGACAGUGAGGGACGAAAGCUGGGGGAGCAAACCGGAUUAGAUACCCGGGUAGUCCCAGCUGUAAACGAUGCGCGUUAGGUGUGUCAGUGACCACGUGUCACUGAGGUGCCGAAGGGAAACCGUGAAACGCGCCGCCUGGGGAGUACGGUCGCAAGGCUGAAACUUAAAGGAAUUGGCG